CGCCUUCACUUUCCUGUCCUUAAUAUCCACUUUGUUGCCACACAACACAAUGGGGAUGUUUUCACACACUCGUACCAGAUCUCUAUGCCAGUUAGGCACAUUCUUGUAAGUAACUCUCGAUGUUACAUCAAACAUUAUGAUGGCACACUGGGCUUGGAUAUAAUAGCCAUCUCUCAGUCCACCGAAUUUCUCCUGGCCGGCUG
rnacentral:lncRNA from 1 species